rnacentral:rRNA from 1 species
CUUGCUUUCUUUGCUGGCGACCGGCGCACGGGUGAGUAACACGUAUCCAACCUACCCUUUACUCGGGGAUAGCCUUUCGAAAGAAAGAUUAAUACCCGAUGGCAUAGUUCUUCCGCAUGGUGGAACUAUUAAAGAAUUUCGGUCAUCGAUGGGGAUGCGUUCCAUUAGGUUGUUGGCGGGGUAACGGCCCACCAAGCCUUCGAUGGAUAGGGGUUCUGAGAGGAAGGUCCCCCACAUUGGAACUGAGACACGGUCCAAACUCCUACGGGAGGCAGCAUG